GGUAAUAUAGCUCAGUGGUAGAGCGCAUGCUUAGCUUGCGCGAGAUCCUGGGUUCAAUCCCCAGUACCUCCU
rnacentral:tRNA from 1 species